ACAAAGUUCAUAAAAACUUGGCUAUAGAAUAGAAUCGCACAGUCUUAAAAUGUACAUGUUGAAACUAUCAUUCAUUCUGCUAUUUUUGGGAUUCGUCAAGUUUUCGUGGCAGGACAAACAAGUUCCCAAUGUGAGUACACUUACAGGAAACAUUCGUGGUUAUUAUAAGAAAUCUCGACACGAUAGAUUAUACGAAGCUUAUGAAGGCAUUCCUUAUGCGCAAUCUCCAGUUGGUAAAUUUAGAUUCCAACCACCUCGACCAAUAAAAAAAUGGUCGAAAGAUCUAUCAGCCACAAAGAAAAGUUCCGUUUGCAUGCAAUAUCUUAUGACUUUUAAGGCACAGAAUGGAAACAGAGUGCAAGGUUCUGAAGAUUGUUUGUACAUAAAUAUUUACGUACCAGUUAGAAAUAAUAGAAAACCAUUAUUACCGGUGAUGUUUUGGAUUCACGGAGGCGCCUUCCAGUUUGCCAGUGGGAACGAAGCAAACGAGACAUUUUUAAUGGACCGUAAUAUUGUGUUCGUUGCGAUUAAUUAUCGUUUAGGACCAUUUGGUUUCCUUAGUACUGGAGAUAUUAUAGUACCUGGAAAUAUGGGAUUGAAAGAUCAAAGUAUGGCUUUACGUUGGGUGUUUAAUAAUAUUAGAAAUUUCGGUGGUGAUCCAAAUAAAAUAACAAUUUUUGGAAUAAGUGCGGGUGGCGCUAGUGUUCAUUAUCACUAUUUAUCACCUAUGAGUGCCGGUCUUUUCAAAAGAGGAAUAUCGAUAAGUGGUGUAGCAUUUUGUCCUUGGGCACAGACGAAGCAUGCUGCUGAAAAAGCUAAAAAAUUGGGUGCUCUUAUGAAAUGUCGGACAGAUGAUAUGAAAAAAAUGGUCGAUUGUCUUCGAAGUCGACCUGCCCGAAUUAUAGCACAAGCUGUUGGCGAUUUCAUGUUUUGGUUGUAUAAUCCUUUCACCCCUUUCGGACCAGUUGUUGAAACAUAUGGAUCCAAUCCCUUUAUUUCCAAUUCUCCAAUUAAUAUUAUCAAUAAUGGUCAAGCUUAUGAUGUUCCUUGGAUCUCUGGCGUAGUUAGCAAGGAAGGAUUAUUCACUGCUGCAGAAUUUAUCAGCAAUGCCAAAUUGUUACGGCAUUUGAACGAUCAUUGGGACGAUAUCGCACCAUAUUUGCUCGAUUUUAAUGAUACUAUUCCGCUAAAUCAGCAUAGGCAAGUGGCGAAAAAAAUUAAAAAUUAUUAUCUGGGAUCAGGUCCAAUUAAUUACGACAAAGUAGGAUCAAUAAUACAAAUGAUGAGUGAUCGAUUGUUCAACAUCGAUUUCGAGAAAGCUGUUAGGUUACAAGCAAGAAUUAACAAGAGCCCAGUGUGGAUAUAUUAUUAUAAUUAUAGAGCUAAACAUAGUGUUAGUGAAAUUUUGAGCGGAGGUUCAACUACAAAUUACGUUAGGAGUAAGCCAUGGCGAUGAUACAUUUCUUGUGCUUGAUUCAAUUAUUUCAAACACAACGAAACCACAGGAUUUGGCUAUGCAACAGUUAUUGAUCAAUUUUUAUACAUCGUUUGCUAUAAAGGGUAUUCCACAUAUAGACGAAGCUACAUGGCCAUCAUUAAAUCCUAAUGAUCCUGAUUUUCGUUAUCUAUAUAUAGUUAAUUUCACAAACAUAAAAAUGGAAGUUAAUAAUAAUUUCGCUAAUAAAAACUUUUGGAAAACGAUUCCUUUUGACGAAAAUAAGCUAAAUUAGAAGA
rnacentral:misc_RNA from 1 species